CCCUUAGAUGUUCUGGGCUGCACGCGCGCUACACUGACGAAUGCAACGAGCUUAUAACCUUGGCCGAAAGGUCUGGGUAAUCUCCAAAUUUCGUCGUGAUGGGGAUAGAUUAUUGCAAUUAUUAAUCUUCAACGAGGAAUGCCUAGUAAGCGCAAGUCAUCAGCUUGCGUUGAUUACGUCCCUGCCCUUUGUACACACCGCCCGUCGCUCCUACCGAUUGAAUGGUCCGGUGAAGCGCUCGGACCGCGGCCUCUUGACGGUUCGCUGUCGAUUGGCUGUGGGAAGUUCGUUAAACCUUAUCAUUUAGAGGAAGGAGAAGUCGUAACA
rnacentral:rRNA from 1 species